UCAGGGAUGUGACUGUUUAAGUUCAAAUCGUUGCUCUGCCUUGUACAAGGUGUAAGACCCUUGGGCAAAUUACUGAACCCCUCGGAGCCUUAUCGUUUCUCAUCUGUAAGAUGGAACUGGUAUGAUUGAUGUGAGUAUUAGACAUGAUAAUGCAUGCUAAUCACUUAUGGUACCCGUCAUAUAGUGGACACUCAAUACGUGUUUCCUAUUGUGAUGAACCUGAUCCCUCACCCCAGUGUUUGAACUUCCAUCACAAAUAUAUCCAGCAAAUGGGGCAAAAAUGUCUGCAUUCUGCUUGAAUAGCCUCAGGGUCAGAGAACUUAACUACCUCCAACAGUUAUCCACUUGAUUGGUGGGCAAGUCUAAUUGUUGAUAACUUCUGGUGGGUUGAAAUGUACAUGCUUACAUCUUCCACUCGUGGCUCCUCCCUCUGUCAUUUGGGAUUACUCAGAAGAAAUCUGAUCUCUCCUCAGCAGGAUAGCCCCCCCCUAACUUUGGAAGGUAGCUACAUAGGCUAGCUGAUAUCCCCAUCUUCACACACCCACACACGAUGUUACAUUUCUUUAACCAUUUUUUACAUGACACUGUUUACCAGAUCCCUUAUCCUUUUUACUCGUGUUGAAUAAUCUUGUGUUUAUCAAUGUCUUUCUUCCAGGCUGAAGAUCAGGAUUCACCACAUGGAACAAAUGUAGCCUGGUCACAGUGUGCCUCUGGACCGAAAGGUGUCCCAGAGUGGGCGGCAAGUUGAUUUUUCAAAACCCAUUUUUCUCUAUCUGGGGUCACAUUAAGAAAGCAACUGAUAGCACGGUGGUGAAGGACGUAGACGGUUGUGAAACCAAAUAGGAAAUUUGAAAGGACAUGAUUCCUCAAGAGACUUGACGACAUCUCUUCAUACGAGGACCUGCGGACCCUGUGAGGCCAGCGACACUAGAAGGGAAGCCAGGUCACACCUCUCGAUGAAGACUCCAGAAAGGAGAACUGAAAAGUCGAAAAGGAGAAAAGGUGGCACUUACCUUAUUCCAAUCCCCAUCUUCUCAAAUAUGGAGUGGGUUGUGAAUCCAAUAACUUACGAAAAUUCAGGAGGAUGGACUGCUUGGGCGAUCCCAAAACUUGGCUCAGAGAAUCUGGAUAUUGAACUCUGGAAAAGAAUCCCACAAGGAACAGAUGUGAAAUCUGGCUCUAUUAACUGCUCUCUGCUCAUGAUUCUAAUGCUGAUAAGUUCUUCUAAAUCGUUUUAGAUAAUCUCCAAUCCCCUUUGAUAUUAGAGGGACUUGAUAAAUCUUUCUCUGGUAAAA